rnacentral:rRNA from 1 species
GAUGAAUGCUGGCGGCGUGCCUAACACAUGCAAGUCGAGCGGCAGCGCGGUCUUCGGACUGGCGGCGAGCGGCGGACGGCUGAGUAACGCGUGGGAACAUGCCCCAAAGUGAGGGAUAACCGCCCGAAAGGGUGGCUAAUACCGCAUACGAUCUUCGGAUUAAAGGAUUUAUCCGCUUUGGGAGUGGCCUGCGUACGAUUAGAUUGUUGGUGAGGUAAUGGCUCACCAAGUCGACGAUCGUUAACUGGUCUGAGAGGAUGAUCAGUCAGACUGGAACUGAGACACGGUCCAGACUCCUACGGGAGGCAGCAGUGAGGAAUCUUCCACAAUGGGCGAAAGCCUGAUGGAGCAACGCCGCGUGCAGGAUGAAGGCCUUCGGGUCGUAAACUGCUUUUAUAAGUGAAGAAUAUGACGGUAACUUAUGAAUAAGCACCGGCUAACUACGUGCCAGCCGCCGCGGUA